GGGUCAGUAGGUUGGCCGCGCCACCAGUACGUACUGGUCUCACUGAUUCCUCCUUCCUGAAGAACCGUAAUGCCAUUAAUUUGGUGUUGCGGGGAAACAGGACUGUUACUUUGAAAAAAUUAGAGUGUUUAAAGCAAGCUAACGCUUGAAUACAUUAGCAUGGAAUAAUGAAAUAGGACGAUCGAUCCUAUUUCGUUGGUUUCUAGGAUUGACGUA
rnacentral:rRNA from 1 species